UAGAUUUAUGUGUAAAUAAAACUCAUGUUAGCAAAAUUAUAGAAUAAUUCAUAAUCACAAAUAAUACUAAUUGAUAGAUUUAUGCAUAAAUAAAACUCAUGUUUAAACUAGUGAAAUACAUUCAUCUAGUAUAAAUGAAAUCAAAAUAGUAAAAUUAAACAUUUCGUAAACAACAACUGACUAGAAUACAUGAUUUUAGUGAAGUUUAGAUAGUUCAUAAAUACCUAACCAUAAAUUUAGAGCAACUACAAGUCUAGUAUAAUUAUUGAUUAAAAUUCUAAGAGAGACGUACAGUGUAUGAUAGAAAUUGACGAUUCUUGCCUUUUAAUAAUGGUGUACGAAGCAGAGAUUUUGGUUGAUGAUGAUCGAUUCUUGAUGAAUAUACUGAAACGAAAUCGUUGACAUGGUAAGAAAUCAUCAAUAGUUGAAACCCUAAGAGUUUGUCGAUCGUUUUAGAAGAACUAUCGUGUCUCGAUGAUCGUGUCGAGUUUCUCUCAUUUUUGUCUUUCUCUCUUUAGAUUUCAAAAUGGCGGUUGAGUUGGGCAAUAUAGAAGAUAGGGGUAUUUUUGGAUGUGUGGUACAAAUGGACUUUUGGGCUUAAUAGAUUUUUUGAUAAAUAUAUUAACUUGUUGUUUAUAGAUAGUUGACCAAAUGACCUUUUAUUUUUAUCUACAGAUUCACUAGCAAAACAUAUAUUAGUUGUGUAUUAGUACUUCUUGUGAGUUGGGAUUCAAAUCCUAUAGAAAGGAGUAAUCGAGAGGGAGUGGGAUUAGGGCAGAAUAGAUUGGUAUGACAAAAAAAGAUUGUAGUCGUCAAUAUACUUAAAAAUAGGAUUAGGAGUCUUUAAAGUUCAAAUUUUAAAGAUGUUUAAUUUUGUAGCUCCUUUGAGAAGAUUAUACUUAUUAAAAUUUGUUUAUCAGAUAUCAAUAAUCACAUAAACAGAUCAUAUGUAUUUGAACAACCCCGCUUAGGCUAAGUUUAUUUUGUAGUUUUGAUAAAUAAUUCAAAUAAUCAGUGUGAGUUUGAAAGUGGAAUUCAUGUAAGAAAUUGGGAGGACGAUGAUUUGGAGGUGAGCCGAACCCAACAAAAUCAGUUUGACCCAAUCUAGCUGCCUUGAGAGUUGUUUUUGUUUAAUUAUUAAUUGCACAAAAGAUAUUUUCGAAGAGAGGGUAUGAGUUUGAAGGUGAGCCGAACCUAACAAAAUCAGUUUCUGCCCGACCCAAUCUAGCUGCCUUUUUUUGUAAUUUUUAAAGAUCUUUAAUCUAGAAAAUUGAAAAAUAAAAAUAUUUUAAUCAAAAAAUGACAUUGGCCACAAAUUAAGCCAUAUAUUAUCAAAUUUAACAAAUGAAACCUUAAACUUUUUAACUCGUCACAAUUCAAACAAUAUGUCUACCUCCACUUAUUCUCGACAAAACAAAGGAAAAUAAUGUUACACGAAUUGGAUCCUCUUUGAAAGCCAUAAUUUCUAAUUAAGACCUCUAUCUAAGAAAGAACCAAAGAACGAACCAAAGAACGUGAUAGAAUUUGGAUGAAACAAAAGCUAAAUUUCAAAUAGAAAUUGGGUAAAUUGGGGCUUAUAAAGGGGCCCAAUUCAUGCCGCAUUGCUUUCCCAGUUGGUUGGGAAUUAAUAACUUGGUAUAGCCAAGUUACACAAAUGGAUAAUAACGAAAGAUUCAAAUUAUGACCGAGUUAAAAAUAUUCAGAAUUUAAUUUGUCAAAAUUAAAAAUUAAGAGGUAAGAGGCUUAAGUUGUUGUCAUGUCAAACUCUGAUGUCUUUCUGGUAAUUUGUUUUCAAAAAUAUUUCAUUUUUUGUAAUUUAAACACAAAUUUUUGUUAAUGUGGUCAAAUAUAUUUCUUUUAUGAGUUUAACUCUUUUUAAAAUAUAUAUAUAACACUAAAAAAAAAUUUUUUAAACAUUUUCCAAAAAUUAAUGGGUUCAGCUAACCCCAUCAACAUACAUGUAGUGCCGCCUCUGGCUCUAUCAAAUGAUUCUUGCUUGUUUUAACUACAGAGUUAUGUUAUGAAUGCCGUGACAAUUCUAAUUCAAGAAAUCAGAAUUUUUUUAGAAUUAGAGUUUAGGAAGAUUGUACUUGGUCAUUAAUUUCCCUGUUUCAUGGACUAAAUUUCUUAGGAACAAAGAUUAAUCAUUGGAUAGUAGUUUCCGCUUUGGAUACAAUUUAAGGUGUUGUAAUUUCAAGCUUCAUUUAUUCCCAAAGAAAAUUUCAGCAAUCAAACUGAGCAUUGAAUAAAACAGAUUGCGUAGGAUUUUCAGAACUGCAAUUCAAACCUUGUUAGGUUUUCAUAAGGUCGCCCACUGUAUUCUCCGGCGAGGUCUGGAGGGAUGAGCAAAACAGAAUUGAAAGUGAUGCUUGCAAUUUGCUUAACAGGGGAUAUGUCACGACGACUGUGUACAGAAGCAGAAGCAAAGUUAUACUUCAGCAAUUUCAUCAGCAGUGGAUCAGGAAGUGCCAAUUAUCUAAAUAACUUCUUGGCUUCCUGGUUUCGAGCCAGGUUGGGCGUGCAGUGGCCCAGAUGUGGAGGUUGACCUAAAAAAUUCCAAGGACGUACCUGCUACUUGCUAGGUCCCUCGACUGUCAGCCUUGCUGUGAGGGGGUUUUCAAAUCAAUUUUCUAGAAUGAUUUUUCAAAAAAUAUUUUUUAGAACAAAAAAAUCAUUAGUUUUCUUAUAUUAUUUAUUUUUUAUCGAUUUGUUUUUGAAAAUUUUGAAGACAUUUUAAUAUUUUCUAAAACAUGCAGGGAUUUUUUAAAAAAAAUAGAAAAACAAAUUUCAAAAACCAUCAAUCAAAAGUUGUGUUUGAAUAAUUAUUAUUUUACAAAACUAAUUCUGAAAAUUAAAUCGAACAAAAUUUGUGUGGGCUCAAACUCACAAGAGGAGUUUCAUUGAGUAUGAAGGGAUGGAGAUGAGCUGCUCCCUUAACAUCUUUCGUUAGUUGUUAACCCCGAGUUGAGCUUUAAAACGUAUUUAAGUUUGAGUUUUACAAAACUAAUUGAUCUUUAAGUGACCUUUAACAAAUCAAUCACAAAUCAAAAUUUAAUAACUCAAUUAGUUUUGCAUGUGCCAUACCCCGAUUUUCAUAAGGUAGAGAAGUGAAUUAAAAGACUUAAAAUAAAAUAAAAAACUCUAAAAAAAUUUAAAAUUUUUAAUAUAAUAUUUCUUAUAAAUUGAACAACCCAACAGUAUACUCAUAUCAAUAUCCACCUGAUAAGUAAAAUAAUAACAAUAACAAUGUCACUACCGACUCAAUAUACAUCAACUACAACGCUAUUACUGGACUCUACAACCAUAAUAAAUUAAAGCUACCAAAUAAUACAUGUUUAUUUAUAUUUUAUUUUACAACAUAGCAAAAGAAAAGUAAAUCUAACAUCCUCCAAUAGUCUUGGGACUAUUUCCACGGUCACAGUGCACGCUCACCUAAAAUGGUUCCCAUGUAUAAAACUUGUAGAAAAAUUUGUGCACGCUCACCUAAAAUGGUUCCCAUGUAUAAAACUUGUAGAAAAAUUUUACAAGUAUAAGUUUGCAAUAAAGUUCACACACAUACACAUCUAGUCUCACAUGUGUGUUAGAAAAAUAGGAAGGAGAGAAAAAGAGGGGGAGAGAGAAUAUCACACACAGCAUACAACUUCACAUAUAAUCUCGCAAUUCUACAAAAGAACAUAUACAUCAACCCUCAAAUUCUAACGAUACAAUAGACAACCAACACACUACUCUAACCAUACCAUAAUCCACACACAUUCGGUCUCACAAUACAAAAAGAGAGAAAGGAGGAGAAUCAACUUCUAGUCAAUGACAUCCUCCUCUACUCCUUACGUAGACAUGUACCACCCGACCAAUUAUCCAUUUUCGCGAAUCAACAUCCUCUUCUACCUGUUAUGUAGGCAUAUUACCCCGAUUACAGUUCCUGAUCCUAGAUUGACAACCUCACACACUCCUUCCUAAGGUAUGUCCAACCUAAGCCACACACAAAUCGCCCAUAGCCACAUACACUAAAUCUAGCCACAAAUACCAACUAUAGGAUGCACGCUCAUCACUUACGUGAACACGUCAACAAGUAACACUCGCAAGGUACUCGAAUAACUAAAUUACAAUAAAAUCCUAAACUUUCAUAUACUCUCUAUAUAAAUCAAAGCAAAUAAUACUUAUCCAAACCAAAAUUUCCCAAUCACAAUCGCUUCCCCAUUUAAACAUAAACUACAGCGUUUAAACAUGCUAUCAUUUUAAUUUGUAUUCAACAUCUUUAACUACGAAAGCAUGUAAAAUCAAUGAAUUCAUAAUUAAGGUCCUUGACCCAGUGCGAAGGCACGUGCGACAACCUCGCAAUGAGCUUUUCUGUCCGUGAAAUAAAUUUGGGGAA
rnacentral:lncRNA from 1 species